rnacentral:rRNA from 1 species
GACGAACGCUGGCGGCGUGCUUAACACAUGCAAGUCGAACGGAAAGGCCCUGCUUUUGUGGGGUGCUCGAGUGGCGAACGGGUGAGUAACACGUGAGUAACCUGCCCUUGACUUUGGGAUAACUUCAGGAAACUGGGGCUAAUACCGGAUAGGAGCUCCUGCUGCAUGGGGGGGGUUGGAAAGUUUCGGCGGUUGGGGAUGGACUCGCGGCUUAUCAGCUUGUUGGUGGGGUAGUGGCUUACCAAGGCUUUGACGGGUAGCCGGCCUGAGAGGGUGACCGGCCACAUUGGGACUGAGAUACGGCCCAGACUCCUACGGGAGGCAGCAGUGGGGAAUAUUGCACAAUGGGCGGAAGCCUGAUGCAGCAACGCCGCGUGUGGGAUGACGGCCUUCGGGUUGUAAACCGCUUUCGCCUGUGACGAAGCGUGAGUGACGGUAAUGGGUAAAGAAGCACCGGCUAACUACGUG